rnacentral:lncRNA from 1 species
AAUUAAUGAUGUUUCAUUCUUAUUCCUGUCAGCCUAAUUCUUAUAUAGUUGAAGAGUUUAUUGUUAUUAUGAUAUUCUUCAGGAAAAAACUUCUUUUUUUUCCAAUAUGAAUGAUCCAAUUGUUUGCACAAAUAUAUAUGUGCUUAAUUUGCAGGAAAAAUUCCACGGAAGCUGGGGAAUCUUUCAGGACUGGAUAUAUUACAGCUGUCCCAAAAUUUUUUAACCGGUAUCAUUUCUUCAUCUAUCUACAAAUUACUCUUCUCUAUUGAAUUUGGAAUUGUCAUUUAAUAACUUGACAAGUAACUUCCCUUAUAUAUAUGUGACAUCUUCCUCUCCUUAAUUAAAAGAUUUCAAGUUUGUUAUUAUAAAUUCUUAUAUGGGGAUGUAUCCUCACUACUAUCUAACAUUACCUUGUUUUCGUUAGAAGUUAAUUUGUCUUUAUGCAAAAUUUUGUAGCAUUUAGCAAAAAAAUAAAAACACUUGGAAUAAAACGCCAAACUUUCUUCUUUACUGAAUUUGGAUUAUUCUAAAAAAUUAUCUUCACAGGUAUGCUUCACUAGUGAUAUGCAUGUGUGACAAUUUCGUAAAAUCUUUUACAUGGGACCACUAAUUAUCUUUAAAUAAUAGGAGAUGCUAUCACUAAUAAAUAAUUUCUUAACAAGCACCAUACCCAAAAGAGGGGGGGGGGAUUUGCUAAUCUUAAAGUGUUAUAUCUUUACUACUAUAGGCUGCAAGGUACGUAUCCUGAUAGAAAUUUUUAUCUAAAUAAACUUUUAGUAAUCACUUGUGAUAUUUACCUUAUCAAAUUAAACGAUGCUCAUUCUUAGAAUAUCAUGAAUGUAAUCGAAAAAUCAGAAUUUUUUUUAGUCAUCAAUCGCGUGAUAUUUUACGUUAACGAAUGAUGUUCAAUCUUAAGAAUUCAAUGUUGAAGUAUACAACACCAGCCCAAAUUGAAGAAAUGCAGCCCAUGAAACCUUCCAUUGUUAGUUCAAAAUUAUGUAGUGGAAAUUGAGCAGGUAAGGAUAAGUGCUUUAUGAGGAAUUAUUUUCGUUACUAAAUUUGCUUAAGAGUGUUAGGUAAUAAGCUUUGUGUGGUAUUAGUUUAAGUUAAAUUAAAUAAUGUGUGUGGUGUGUGUUAUAUUUGUGUUUCUAUAUAAACCCCUCAUUGUAAGCUUUGUAAAGCAUCCAAAACAAAUCUUCUCAUAAGCAAUAAAAGAUGUUGUGUUGAGUGUUGUCUUGAGUGAAUUUCUUCUUCAAGUAGUCAAAUUAAAGUAGUGAACUCUAUAUUUUUACGCAACAUUUAAAACAUCUUGAAGGUUAGUAGCAAGAAAAAUUAGGAAAUUAUUGACUUGCUGAAAAUUUAAUUCAAUGUUUGAGCAUUCAAUUUUGAAUGCUGAGAACUGGUCCUGGUUAGUAUUUCCUUGGAUAAAUAUGAAAAGUAGGCUAGAAGAAACUAUUUUACUUAAAUAAGAGUUAAAAAGAGAGAAGUACAGUACACAUGACUUAAGCUGGCUCUGUAAUUAGUUUAACUUCGGCUUCGGGCUUGAUUACACGGUCCAACACUUACAAUUAAGCUUUUAAUUUCCACCACAUAUUUGAUAAUUUCUUUUUCUUAAUGUCGACGUUCAUUUUUAGUCAACUAAAAAUUACAUAAAUGGGACGAUAUAGAAGACAAUACACAGAGAAUUUACGUAGUUCAAUGUUCGGCCUACGUCCAUAGAAGUAAAAAGAGAGAUUUUUACUAUUAAAUAAAAAUUUCAAUAAAACUCUUUUGGCUAUUUGACUACCAAUUCUCUUGCUAAUUUUUCUUUUUCUUUUAAUGCCUUCAUAGGCUCUCUAUUUAUAAUACAACGUUUCCGUACCUUGAGUAAUUAACUAAUUAUAUCUCUUUGUUUUAAUCUGCUUCAUCAAAGUCAGUAGAGUUUUACUUGGAAUCUACAUUUAUCUUCUUCUCAAAAGUCUGUUGCUAAAGCUUUUAGAAUCUUUUUUUUUCUUUUUUAAUCGCUUUAUUCUGCACAUGCUCCAUACUCCCUUUUUUAAAUAUUAUUUCACUUUUUAUACUUCCUACUUCCAUGCUCCAUGCUUCUUAAUUAAUUUACUUUUCAUGCUUCUUAUUUAUUUCACUUUUUAUGCUUCUUACUUCCAUGCUUCUUAAUUAUUCCACUUUUUGUGCAUGGUGCAUGUUUCACUUUUUCCUACAUGAUGCAUGUUUCAUUUUUUUUCCGAUAACUCUUAACUUUCCCAAUUAGGUUGUAGCAAUUUCUAUAUAAACAACUAGAGCAUACUAAAGCUAGCAUUACUAAUUUAAAUUUUGUGUUCAUAUAAAUUUUACGUUACUAAUUUAAACUAAUAGUAAAAUAUGUUGUUUCUCGCACUAUGUUAUUUUGGUUAGCAAUAUGUGAAUCUUGGAAUUAAUAAUAUUUAUAAUUACUUAAUAAAAAUAUAAACUUAGAACUUUGUUAACAUUUUAUCUAGGAAAAAGGCCACCCACAGCCCCAAGGUUUGUUUAAAUGGUCACACACCCCGUUAAUUUCAUAAAUUGUCACACAUGCCUCUUUUUUAUUAUUAUACCCUUGAUUACAACAACCCAAUAAUUGACUUUAAAUAAAAUUUUAUAAUA